UCAGUCAGUAAGUCAGUCAUCAGUUGGACAGGAUGGAGCUCCGUCCACUCUGUGUGAUGUUCUUGCUGACUGAACUCAUCCUCUGUACACAAACAGGUGAUUUAGGUCUAGGCUCUCUGCUGUGUCCGACUGAAGGUAUGCUCUGGACAGUGUGUCUGCAAUGAGCAUUUGGUUGCCUGGAGUGUAGACAAUGUUAAUGUCAUACAUUUGAAGUUGGAGCAGCAUUCUUUGAAGCCAUGCUGGUGCUGUUUCAAGUGGUUUAAGAUCCGAUUGGACUCUGAUGGACACACCAUAAA